GGAAGGCUGUAGCUCAGUGGUACAGCAUCUGCUUUGCAUGCGCACGGUCUCCGGUUUGAUCCCUGUCAUCUCCA